UGGGGAAUAUUGCGCAAUGGGGGGAACCCUGACGCAGCCAUGCCGCGUGAAUGAAGAAGGCCUUCGGGUUGUAAAGUUCUUUCGGUAUUGAGGAAGGUUGAUGUGUUAAUAGCACAUCAAAUUGACGUUAAAUACAGAAGAAGCACNUUGNNAACUNCGUGCCAGCAGCCGCGGUAAUACGGAGGGUGCGAGCGUUAAUCGGAAUAACUGGGCGUAAAGGGCACGCAGGCGGUUAUUUAAGUGAGGUGUGAAAGCCCCGGGCUUAACCUGGGAAUUGCAUUUCAGACUGGGUAACUAGAGUACUUUAGGGAGGGGUAGAAUUCCACGUGUAGCGGUGAAAUGCGUAGAGAUGUGGAGGAAUACCGAAGGCGAAGGCAGCCCCUUGGGAAUGUACUGACGCUCAUGUGCGAAAGCGUGGGGAGCAAACAGGAUUAGAUACCCUGGUAGUCCACGCUGUAAACGCUGUCGAUUUGGGGGUUGGGGUUUAACUCUGGCGCCCGUAGCUAACGUGAUAAAUCGACCGCCUGGGGAGUACGGCCGCAAGGUUA
rnacentral:rRNA from 1 species